CCUACGGGUGGCAGCAGUGAGGAAUAUUGGUCAAUGGACGAGAGUCUGAACCAGCCAAGUAGCGUGAAGGAUGACUGCCCUAUGGGUUGUAAACUUCUUUUAUAUGGGAAUAAAAUGUUCCACGUGUGGGAUUUUGUAUGUACCAUAUGAAUAAGGAUCGGCUAACUCCGUGCCAGCAGCCGCGGUAAUACGGAGGAUCCGAGCGUUAUCCGGAUUUAUUGGGUUUAAAGGGAGCGUAGGUGGAUUGUUAAGUCAGUUGUGAAAGUUUGCGGCUCAACCGUAAAAUUGCAGUUGAAACUGGCAGUCUUGAGUACAGUAGAGGUGGGCGGAAUGCGUGGUGUAGCGGUGAAAUACUUAGAUAUCACGAAGAACUCCGAUUGCGAAGGCAGUUCACUGGACUGCAACUGACACUGAGGCUCGAAAGUGUGGGUAUCAAACAGGAUUAGAUACCCCAGUAGUC
rnacentral:rRNA from 1 species